GUAGUCCGACGUCGGGAAGCUUCGACCGGAGAAUCGUCAAUGGCCAUGAAGCCAGAGAAGGCGAGCUGCCGUACCAAAUUCUCCGGGCAACAUGAAAAUCGUCGCUGGCACAAUCGACUUGGAAAAGCCAGCAUCGAUGCAUCGCGUUGUCAAAAUAAUUAUCCACGCUGAAUAUCGUCGAAGCGAUUCGUGGUAGUGAAUGACAUUGCUCUUGUCAAAGUGAGCCCAGAAUUCAUUUUUUCAAGGACAAUUUCCAACGUAGUUCUGCCUCAGCAAAAUGUCCAAGUAUCCGAUUACUCGGUCGCCACUGUUUCCGGAUGGGGGCGUCUUUGGGAAGGUGGUGAAUUUCCGACAAAACUUCAACGUGCACACAUCUUGAUCGUACCUCAAAUAGACUGUUGGAGAAUUUAUUAUCCUACGAACAAAAUUUACCCAACAAAUAUCUGCGCUUGUGACCCCAAUGUCGAAACUGG